UGUCCCAUCUAUUUAUUUUUUUAUGACUAAAUAAUGCUUUAAUUUUUUUUUCAAGAACCAAAUUGAGUCUCUGGUUUUUUUAGAGACUUAAAGGAAGCUUAGUCGACAAGUAUGGUUGGACAUCCGGUUCACGUCUCUUGUGAUUUGAGUUUAAGUCUGAAAUUCUCUAAUUUUCUCCCUACAAGGUCUCGGCUGCGACAGAAAGGUUUGCAGCUUCCCUAUUGCACAACCAGCGUAGCAAUUGGUGUAUGCUGUUAUGUUGUUGCUGGCGUAGCAGGACUGUUCACUUGUGGGAUAUUGUUGAUGAAAAUUGCGCCAAUUAGUCAUCGUGCAGCUGAAAUUUUUGCAGCAGUGGCGCGCAACCAAUGAUAUGUCCCUGUGCAGCAGGCAGGAAUGUCCACUUGUGGUAAAAUAAUGUUAGUGAUGCAUUUUGCAACAAAACAAAUUAAGUCUUGCAGUUUUUCUCAAUGAUUAAAAUCGAUUUUCACUCUU